CAAAAUUUAGGGUAUUCACAUAGUGGGGGUCCAAACAGUGGUUCUGGAAAUGAAGUGUUUACAUAAUCCUGAAAAUAUCAAUUACAAUUUUUUUUUGAGGCAUCUCAUGUGUUCCUGGUGGUGGAACACUUUUAUUGGCAAGAUUGUAAUUCAAGGCCAGGCGCGGUGAUUCACUUCUAAGAAAUAACAAACUCGAUUAGAUAUUAUGUCCCAUUCAAGAAUAUUGUGAGGAUUUUAAAGAGUAACGAGUCAACUUUAUGAGGAUGAAAAUAUUUACAUUAUCUCCUGGAUUCUGAGAUGUAUGGAAAUGAAGUCAGAUUAAGACACCACAUACCUGAGAGUUGGCAGGGGCAACGCUAGCAAUUCCUACCAGGCAUUUGAUUGAACUGAAAAAAAAAAAAAAAAAAGUCCAAUGCAUAAGAGGCAUUAAGAGUUGAUGGGAAGCCUCAAGAAAUGUCAAUUACUAAAGCGGAAGUCUAUUUUUAAGUUCGGC
rnacentral:lncRNA from 1 species